UUCUCACUGCCACACUCCACUUGAGCUGCU
rnacentral:piRNA from 1 species